ensembl:lncRNA
CUUUGUCUGAUGUAGCAACAGCUCUGAUUAGAAAUCUUACUUAAAAUGUAUCUUUUAUUUGCAGCAGGACUUGAGAAAAAAGAAGGAAAAACAACUAAAGCAGCAGUGCAAGAUAAACCAAAGAUGAAACAAGGAAAUCCUGGGAAAGAUAAAGAAUUGAAAUCUCCAGCUGCCACGAAAAAUAAAGAACUUGCUAAAGUAAAGGAAGGGAAGAAUCCUACAUCUUUAAGAGAAAAAGUCAUUACAGGUCCUUCUAACGUGACAAAGGAGGCAAGAUUUUCUCCGCCCAGCCUUCAGAAAAGAGCAGAUUCCCUGAAAGUGAAAAAUCUCAAAAAUCCAGAGAGCAUAAGAGAAAAAGAGACUGGAAAAAGAAAAGAUGUGAAGCCUCCAACAGCCUUAAAGGAGAAAGACUCUUCAAAACGAAAAGAAAUUAAGGCUUCAAAUAAUCCUAAGGAAAAAGCUGCAGUGAAAAAGGAGGGGGAGAAGAAAGCUACCUCAGAGAACACGCAUGAACACAAGCAUGAACGUGUUAAACGUGAAAAAGCUGUCUCUCAGAGCAAGCCAGAGGAGAAAAUGAAACAAGAAAAGACAGCUCCCACUGAGAAGUCAGGUAAGAGUAAGUGA